rnacentral:lncRNA from 1 species
ACGGCUUGUCUUGCUCUGCCUCCUCCCACACCAGAAGUGAGCAUCAGGUGGUGGCGAGCGCGUAGACAGGGUGAAAGGUGUGAGGGUUAGCGACAGAUCUGCGUAUUCACCUUGCUGGUCACCGGCCACCACCACCUCGGCGCCAAUGAAUUUUCUGUCGCGAGCCCCGCUAACGGCUUGCCGCUGAAAACUCUGGGAAAUGUAGUUAGGCGCGAGCAAGCUGUCGUUAGUUGCAGGUCUGAGGCGGGAACCGGGGCUCCUCAUGUGUUCGCGGCUCGGUUCAGCCUUCCACGAGCUCCUGAAGUUCUGCCAUUCCCCGUGGUCUGCAGUUCAGGAAGCUUCUGGAACAUGCGGCGCCUCUGCCAUGGAAACACGAUCCGCGUCGUCAGCUUCAGAUGUGAUCUUGGAACGCUGAGUUCGCCUUGGCAGCUGUCUGAAAGUUAAUCCUGUGAAGGGACCUGAAGCAGCCCUCUGAGGAAGCCUCGCGCACCCCUGCCGAAGAACAUCGCAGUGUGUUCAUUCCCCUUCCGUUGGCCUCAGGAUCCAAGCAGGAAAGAAGAGGGAAGAACUCUGAAGGACAUGAGAGGGACCCAGCUUACAGUCCAGGAAAGGCAGCCCCUCCUCUCAGCAGGUGUGUGAGCUGAAGGGACCCAAGGAACUAACCAGAGAGGACCAGUGGGCAACCGUCAGUCUGGAUUCCCAGCCCCCGAGUAGAUUUGUGGCCAGCCUGGUGUGGAAGGAAGCUGGAAGCCACCUGAAUAGUGGUUCGUUGCCAGCAUCAACCGGCUCACAUUACAGCAGCCUAGCUCCUUCCUAGGGUUCCCAGACUGCCCUUUGAGAAUAAAAUAGGAGGCCAGAACCAAAGUCUUUUGGAUAAAACACCGCGACUGACCACACACUAACCCAUUUGGCUGCCCUCCUUCCCAAGGCACAGAUCAUCCCAGCAUGUGAAGGCCUCCUUCUCUCCCUCCCUCCUUCCCUUCUGACCCAUUUUCACUCUUCCACCACACAAUCAAAAAUAAAUAAAUAAAUGAAAAAAAA